rnacentral:rRNA from 1 species
UACGUAGGGGGCAAGCGUUGUCCGGAUUUAUUGGGCGUAAAGAGCGUGUAGGCGGUUUGGUAGGUCCGUUGUGAAAACUCGAGGCUCAACCUCGAGACGCCGAUGGAAACCAUCAGACUAGAGUCCGGAAGAGGAGAGUGGAAUUCCUGGUGUAGCGGUGAAAUGCGCAGAUAUCAGGAAGAACACCUGUGGCGAAAGCGGCUCACUGGACCAUAACUGACGCUGAUGCACGAAAGCUAGGGGAGCAAACAGG